rnacentral:lncRNA from 1 species
CUUUUUUUCUGCAGCUGUGGUCUGCUGAGCAUCACCUCCACACAGCAAGUGCCUUCACUUAAGCAGAACAGGAAGAAGGAAGAGGACGGUAAGCAGGAGAGAAGGAAAUAAAAAUCUGGAGACUCUCUUCUGGCUCGUGGGGAUCUUCUUUCAUACUUUGCAGAGAGAUACUGAGAAAGAAAAGCAGAAGUGGUGUUGGCGCGGCACAGCGCUUGUGGUGCUGGCAGAGUGCACGGAGCGGAGCGAGGGGAAUCCACUGGUGCUGCUGAGAGAGAGAGAAGCAGCCUAGCAGGAGGCAGAAAGCGGCGCAGCGGUCAACAUCCUGUCAGAGGGGCAGCAUUUCUACAUGACAAUGAAUCGUGGAGACAGCUGAACCCUAUACAUGGAAACAUGGAAAGCACAUGAAACCUACAUCACAUGAGCAAAGGGAGGACGGACAAGCAAACGCACGCUGCACUUUAAAGAUUCUCUACAAGUCUUUUAAUAUAUGGUUUUUUCUCUCAUCUAUGGAUGUUAGAUGAUGGGGGACUGAACUUGUCCAGAGGAAUUUGUCCUUUAACUUUGGUUAAGUAUUUUCUAAACAACUUUACUGCUUUACAUGUCAUUUUAGAAAAGGGCUUUUUACCCUUCUGGCUAAGCACAAGACAAUAUAUUUCUAUUCUUAGCUGAAACUAACAGCCCUGCUUGUGACAAUUAUGAGUCUUUUCCCCGAUUCAGUCUGGCCAGCAAGUGGAUUAUCAUGACAAUAUUAGUGUAUUUUUCUAUUGCUUGAAGAGAAAAAAGAAAGACGAAUAAAAACUAUCCAUGACAAAUGACUUUAUGUUUGUCAGAGAGGGAACAGAUCCUGUGCGCACUCUCGUCCCUUCAGCUGUGGAUUACAGAUGGGCUUUUUGAUCUCCCAGUGCAGUCUCAUGGAUGAUCGCUUGCUGCCAGUCAUUAGGAUAAAGUACAAAGAAGGGCACAAGUGGCUUGGGCACAAGUGGAGAUUGAUUGAAGUGAUCUGUGUGAAUCCUAUUAAUGCAUCCUGGAUUGUGGCCAAGACUGAAGCAAUGAAGGGGAACACCGCUGUCUAACAGUGCUAUCUGAUUUUCUUUCUCGCUGGACAAACUAAGGACCCUCUGCACUUUUUUUCUCAACAACACUCCUCAUCC